rnacentral:RNase_P_RNA from 1 species
CAAGCUGGCCAGGCGAUCGCGCACCACCUUGGCUGUGGUGUGAGGAAAGUCCGUGCUCCAUAGGGUACGGUGCUGGCUAACUGCCAGGCGGGGUGACCCGACGGAAAGUGCCACAGAAAAUAAACCGCUCGUUCAGCGAGUAAGGGUGAAAAGGUGUGGUAAGAGCGCACCAGCACCAGUGGUGACAUUGGUGGCUUGGUAAACCCCACCGGGAGAAAGACCAAGCAGAGGCCAGGGGCGACCCGUCCCGCAAUGAGCCUCGGGUAGGUCGCUAGAGUUGGUGAGUAAUCGCCAUCCCAGAUAGAUGAUCGCCACCCAGAUGGGUACAGAAUGCGGCUUAUCGGCUGGCUUGGGUG